rnacentral:rRNA from 1 species
GAAAAAAUUUUUCGCUUUAAGAAGCUCUAUCUCGGGUAGCGAUUGCUAKAAUAAUUUCUAGUUAGAUGAAUUUCUAAUUAGAAUAAUUUUUAGUUAGAAUCAACUACGCGUAACUAAGACCGAAAGGUUAAUUGGUCACAGUGUGGCCUGAACAAAGCCCACAGUUUAUACUACAGCAGUGAGGAAUAUUGGUCAAUAGCCUACCGGCUGAACCAGCMWCUUGGAGGAAUGAAUAGCGAAAGCUUAWUAUAUUAAAUAUUUAAUAUGAUAUUAACUAUGUUAUAUAAAGUUCUAGAUAUAAUUAUGAUAAUGACAUUAUAUAUCUAUAAGUCUUGACUAAGUCACGUGCCAGCAGUCGCGGCAAUACGUGGAAGACAAGUGUUAUUCAUCUUUAAUAGGUUUAAAGGGUACGUAGACAGUUAAUUAAGCCAUAGAAGGUACUAAUUAUACUAGAGUUUGAUGUAAGAAGCGAUUGAAGUACGAUGAGUGUAGAGAUGAAAUUCUGUCAUGCCAUUUAGAUACUGAUAGAGGCGAAAGCGACCUUUUAUGUAAAAACUGACGUUAAGGGACGAAGGCUCGAUGAAAGAACAGGAUUAGAUACCCUAGUAUUGUGAGCAGACAAUGAUGAAUGUCAUAUGUAAGAUAAAUGUGCUAUUUGUAAUUUUUAUUUGUGCUUUAAGCCGUUUGCCUCUAAAGUGGGGUAGAUAUCUUAAUGCAUUUAUUAAUACAUAAUUAGUAAAUGGAGUACUAAUAUAUUGUUUUAAUGUGACUUAAAAUAAUAGGGUUAAAACCAAUAUUGGUUACCCUUGGUCUCUUUUUCUUAUUAUGUAUUAAGGCUAUAGUAUAUGUUUUAUGUAUAAA